AGGGCUCUUCAUUUCCGGGGGAAGCCGGCAUUGCAGUUCGCGAGACUUGUGGGAGGCGUUGGCUGCUCCUUCGUGGUCCCGUGGCCUCUGUCCGGGAAAGCCAGAAAUGAAGAUCACGAGGCAGAAACACGCCAAGAAGCAUCUUGGCUUCUUCCGCAACAAUUUCGGGGUCCGCGAGCCCUACCAGAUACUGCUGGACGGCACCUUCUGUCAGGCGGCGCUGCGGGGCCGCAUCCAGCUGCGGGAGCAGCUGCCGCGCUACCUCAUGGGGGAGACUCAGCUGUGCACCACCAGGUGUGUGUUAAAAGAGUUAGAAACGUUGGGAAAGGACUUAUAUGGGGCAAAGCUGAUUGCACAAAAAUGCCAGGUUCGAAAUUGUCCCCAUUUCAAGAGUGCAGUGAGUGGAUCAGAAUGUCUGCUUUCCAUGGUUGAAGAGGGAAAUCCUCAUCAUUAUUUUGUGGCAACACAGGAUCAGAGUUUGUCUAUGAAAGUAAAGAAAAAGCCUGGAAUUCCUCUCAUGUUUAUUAUUCAGAAUACUAUAGUUUUGGACAAACCUUCUCCAAAAACAAUUGCAUUUGUUAAAGCAGUAGAGUCAGGUCAGCUUGUCUCAGUGCAUGAGAAACAAAGCAUCAAGCACCUCAAGGAGGAACGGGGUUUAGUAAAAGACCCUGAACAGAGAAGAAGAAAAAAGCGCAAGAAAAUAAAAGGCCCCAAUCCUCUUAGCUGUUUGAAGAAAAAGAAAAAAGCAACGGAUACAAACUCAUCUGCCUCUGAGAAGAAAAGAAAAAGAAAAAGAAUCCGGAACAGAUCUACUUCAAAAGUACUUUCUGAAAAGCAGAAUGCAGAAGGAUAAUGAAUCCUUUGGAUACUUUUAAACACAUUCAAAUAUGAAAAAUAAGUUUCUUUUUGAAGCUGUGGAAAUAUUUAUGCAUCUGACUUGAUCUUGACACAUUCUUCAGUAACUCUGGAAAGGAUCUCAUAAUUUUUCAUAUGAUAAUAUCAGGUAAUUCCUUAUCCCUGGAGAUAAUUCUAGAGCCAUCCCUCUGUCUGCCAAUGUGGAAAGGUUUUCCACCAAGCAUGUUGCUCAGCUCUCACCCAGGCGCAUCCUGCCCUUAUACAGAGAAUCUACUCUCUCACUUUUGUAGCCUAGAUUCUUCAUUUUACUCUUUCCUGGUUUCCUCUUUUGCUGUGGUGGAGCAUAGAGUGUGUAGGAAGUACAUUUUUUGAGGCUCAUCCAAUGUGUUUAACCUCAUAUUUGUUGCACUGAUAAUCUAGCAAGGUAAAGAAUACUUGGUUACAAAUCAUUUCACUCAGUUUCUCUUGAGAACUUCUUAAUUGUUUAUAAGGCCCUAGGGGAAAGAAAUCCCUUUACUUUUUUUGAGUUCCAUUUAUCCAAUACAGAAGAGGAUUUUUUUAGAUGUAAAUGUUAACUUCAGUAGCAAAAAUUCCAGAAUAAUUCUCUUUCAGUUUGGCUAUAUAUGUUAUUUUUAAAAUGUCAAAAGGGUCAGUUCAAUUAGGAAUCAAAUAAUCAAACGACUUUUUCAGCUCCUUCCCCAAUUAUUUUAAUUAUUCAUCAGGCCAAAGUUGAAAUGUUUUUGCAGUGUAAGAUUGAAGUAUAAAGUUGUCAGAAGUGCAAUCAGUAGCUUCUGACUUUGAGCUGGCAGUGAUACUUUCAAAGUGGUUCUUAAUUUGUAUCCUUAGAAUAUUGCCAUGUAUGAAGUAUUUCAUGAAUAAGUUCUUACUUAUGCCUAAAAUAAGUGAUUUUUCUUAAAAAUGAGACAAUUCAAAUUUAUUCCUAUGGAAAUGUCAUUCUCAGUUGAAUUCAUAAUUGCUUUUUUUGGUGGAAAGUGGAACGUUAGCUCUACCUACACUGGGAAGAGCAGACAGGCUGUAUUUGGCAAGCCAGAUGAUUGUUCCUACUGUCAUUUCAUGAUUCUGGUUUAAAUUUAUGAUAGGAAUAUUUUUUAAAAGAAAAGCAAAGGUACUGGGAAAAACUGAAUAUAGUUCUAUAGUUCCUGUGAAGAGAAGUAACAUUUGUCAAUAAUGACAGAGUUAAGAAACAGAUCAAAUGUAGACAAAGUGAUAAAUCAAGUGAAAUGUACCCUGAUGACCUUCAUUUCAGUAUGCUGAAAUGCAUAAAUUACAGGUGUUUUUAACAAGGCUUAUGUUUACUCAGUGCUGUCUGAUUGCCUGUAUUUAGUUUAACAGCCUACACUGGAGAGCUGGAAAAGUCAUCUCAUUUUUAUGAAGUAGUAAUUUUUAAAUUAAAACACAAAAAUACAAAUGCAUUGUAAAACAUUUAAUAGCUUACAACUUGGAUUAGUCAUUUAUAUAUUUUCUCAGUAAAAAUUACUUUAAAUUUAACAGAAGGAUCUCAUAUCUUUGUACUUCAGUUCUUUAAAGAAUACUACCCUUUGCCACCACCCUGAAAAUCGCUAGCACUACUUGCUCUGUUUUCUCCAUACAAAUUAGGGAAGACGGGGGCCCUGGGAGUAUGCACAGGCAAUCAAUCCAUUUUGUGGUUUGGAAAAAAAUGUUCAGAACAUCUGCUUUAAAUGGUAGCUACUUGCUUUGUUGGGGAUAAAAGUGGAACACACGUGCUUUUCAACUCUGAAGUUUGCUAGACUAAAAACAAAUAGUAUUUCUGAAAACUGCUAUCCUUUUUGAACGCUUUAAAAUAAAGUGUUUGCAGUUGUGUUUGGGCAGGAUUCUGUAUUUCCUGCAUUUUCAAAGCCCUACAGCCAUUUUUUAUUCCCAUAAGUAUAUAAAGUAAAACUAGAAGUCAUUUCAGAACAACUGAAUUUCAAAAGCAAAAAGAUUUCCUGUCUUCUAUUUAUGCAUAAAGUUAAGAGUUAAGAGACUGUUUUAUGACUGCAUCUAGGUAAGGCAGAAUGGCUGUGACUUGACAGGUUUAAUUAAUAGGUUUUCAUGGAUGGGUAGAAUGAAUAUUUUAAAAUAUUUUAAAAAUAUGUCUUGAACUAUAGCUUAAGAAUUCUUAGUUGUAAAUGAAAAUGUAUAUAAAUGAAAAAAUGUGAUAACUUAGUAUAGCUCUACCUAUAUUGAAAUCCAAAACUGUUUGGGGAUAAAGACAAAAGAUUAGGUGUCUGGACUGAAUUUAGGAACUGAUUUCUCGUAUGAUCUUAGAUUAGUGGCCUCCAAAUAUUUAAUCAUGCAUCCUUGCCUGUAAAAAGCUUUUGUGUACACCUAUAAUGUGUAUAUUUAUCAACUAUAUAAAUUUACUACUGUACAUUCUAAGGUAUACACAAAAAUAUAAAGGAUAAAGAUAAGUUAUUUAAAAAUCUUUGCCAUUAGCUAAUAUUUCAAAAUACGAUGACUUCAUUAGCUAAUAUUUCAAAAUACGAGGCUUACCAAUUAUACUUGAUACGAAUCUACUUCAGGUAGUCUUAAUUACCUUAUUUGUCAGAUCUGUCUAGGUCUGGUUUUCCUUUAUAUUAAUGAUAAAGUGUACUAGGAGUAGGUGUCAAUACGUAUUUGUUGAAUAAGUGAAAAUAAGAGCAGGUCUACUACAAAGAGUCAUAGCUUCUCAACCAGUUUUCAGACCUAAACCAGCUCACAGGCCCAGAGCCCCUCAAUUUAAGGGGAGGCUGGGUUCCCUUGAGAAAGGUCCCUGGAAGCACUGCUACAAGUUUUCCUCUAAGCCUUCCCCCAAGGGACCUGUGGCCAUUUUCUAGAGUGAAUGUGCUUUGGGGAAUAGAAAUACCCAGGCCUUUUGGGGAUUACUAGACCCUGGCUCUGAAUUGAUGCUAAUUGCUGGGGACCCAAAAUGCAUCUGGUCCAACAUUAAAAGUGGAAGUUUAUGGUGGUCAGGUGAUAAGUUGUGUUGUAUGCGAAGUUUGAGUCACAGGUCCAUGAGCCCAACCUGUGUUUUUCCUCCAAUUCCAGAAUGUGUAAUUGCUAAAGACAUACUAGGCAUCUGGUUGUGUCUCCAUAUUAGCUCUCAUUUAUGGACUAAGGGUCAUUAUGGUAUGAAGAGCCAAAGGGCAGCUAUUGGAAUUUCUCCAUGCCAGAGUAGUAAACUAAAAGAAUAGGAUCUCUUUGGAGGAAAUGCAGAGAUUACUACCAUCAUUAAAUACUUGAAUGAUGCAGAAAUGUUGAUUCUUACUUCAUCUCCAUUUAACACAUCUCAUCUGUUUAGUCUGUAUAGAAGGCAGAUGGUUCUUAAAGCAUGACUAGAUUAUUUUAAUGUUAAUCCGAGGGUGACUAAUUUGCAGAACCUCUUCCAGAGAUAAUAUCUUUGCUGGAACAAAUCAACACAGCUCCUGGCACCUUGUAUGGAAAAUGCUUUUUUUUUCUCCUCUAAUUUUUAACAAUUUGCUAUGACCACCAAAAUCAGUUUGCUUUUCUUUGACAAGGUCAAUAGUACACCAUUACAGUCUGGCUUAUGCUAAUUUAGCACACCUGCCUUCAGCCAUAAUGAAGUCUGCAGAGAUCAUGAUCAUCUUAACAUUCCACACAUCACACUGACCCCCGACGUUGAUGACAUUGUGCAGGUUGAAUUUGAUGAGCAGGAAGUAGCAAAUGCUACGAACAUCUUAGUCAACUUAGGGACUUGGGAAGUAUGGGAUUGGAAGAUUGAUUAGAAGAGUGUCUGGUGAAGAGGUAUAUGGAUGGAUCUUUCUGAAUGGGCACAGAGUGUGAAGAUAUUUGGGUCCCACGUGAAAAAUCCAUCAGGCAUUCACUGUAGAGGAGACUCAAUUAUCAGGUGGUCAAAAUGGCACUUUCUGUAGAUGUCAGCUUCUUUUCCUGCCAUUGAGUGCUUGUUCAUUGGGCCUGUGAACAAAGUAGUUACAGUGGCAGAAAUGGAGACUAUGCAUGGUCUUCAUACCUAACCUGGCUAGCACUGCUGCUGAAUGCCUAAUGUGCCGAAAAGAGACAACCCUGAGCUCACAAUUAGGCACUGUUCCUUGUGGGGAGGGGAAAGGAACCAGUCAGCCAUAUGGUGGCAGGUUGGUAACACUGGAUCCUUUCCAUCAUGGAGGGAGUUGAAAUUUAUCCUUAAUGGAACAGGGCCUAUUCUGUAUAUGGAUUUUCUUUUCUUUCUUAUAAUGCUUCCAUCAGUAUCACUUAACAAAAUGCCUUAUUUACCAUCAUGGUAUUCUGCUAACACGGCUUCUGAUCAAAGAAUUUGUGGUAUUAAAUGGUCUUGCUUCAGUAUGUCACUAUUUACAGUGCCAGUUUAGAGACAGCACCUUGAAAGGAUGGAUAUUCUCUUGCAAGAUGCACGAUAAGCUUUGAAUCAGAGGCCACCAUGUGGUGCGUCUCAUCCAUACCUAGAAUACACAGGUCCUGUACUUAAAAGGAUGGAAGUGGAAGUACUCUUCUUCUCACCUUUACAUCUUAUAACCCACUCAGAGAAUUUUUAUUUCCUCCCCCAUGACUGAGCUCUGCUGGAUUGGAAAUAUCGUUCCCAAAGGAGAAAUGUUCUACCAAGGGUGCAGCAAUAAUUCCAGUGAUAUGGAAGAUGAGACUGUCACCAGGUCAUCUGGGAGUUUCUUAUGCUUCUGAACCAACAGGCAAAAAAGAGAGUUACUAUACUGGCUAGGAUGAUUGCUCCUGAUUUCAGUUAGCAAAUUGGAUUGCUGCUACAAGAUAAGAGUAGGGAGGGCUGUUUCUGGAAUCAACGAGAGUCUUUAAGAGGCUACUUAGGUGCUUCUAUAUCUGAUAGUAAAUGUUAAUUAAAAACUACAGCAAACAAAGGGAGGCAAAACUACUAUGUAUUCAUAUACUUCAGGAAUGAAGGCUUGUGUUACCUCACCAAUUAAAGAACAAAUUGAGGUUCUGCCUGAUGUCAAAAGAAACAUAGAAUGGGUAGUGGAAUAGCCAGCCUCCAAGAUGGUGCCCAAAUAGUCUCACCUCCUGGUAUAUAUGAGCCUGUGUGUCCUCUUUCACACGGGAUAGAGCUGACUCAUGUAACCAGUAUAUCAAUAUUAUGAAAAUGAUGGUGUGUAACUUCUGAAGCUAGGUCCUAAAAACAUAGUAGCUUCCAUCUUGCUUUCUCUUGGAGCACUUGUUCUUGGGGGAAGCCAGCUCCUAUAUUGUGAGGCUGUUUAAGCUCUAGAGAAUUCUACGUGGAGAGAAAAGGAAGCCUCCUGCCAACAGCCAGCAUCACUUUACUUGCAACGUGAGUGAGCCGUCUUGGAAGUGAAUUCUCUAAUCCUCAAACCUUCUGAUGACUGCAACCCAGCAAACAUCUUGACUGUGACUUCAUGGGAGGCAGAACCACUCAGUUAAGCCAAUCCUGAAUUCCUGACCCAUGGAAACCACGUGAGAAAAAUGUUGUGUUAAGCCAUUAAGUUUUGGAGUAAUUUGUUAUGCAGCAAUAAACAAUAAUGGAAGAAAGAAGUUUAAUAUAUCAAAUAUGGACUUGUGACUAGUUAAAUAAAUUAUGUUUCUAACAGCUA